rnacentral:sRNA from 1 species
UGACACCACCUUUUUUAGGCACAACAUGGACUGGGCUCACCCAAGUACUAUCAGAGAUAGGGUAGAUGAUACCCGCAUCUAGAAGUUUCAUUAUCUCUUUCUUAACAACAUCUCUAAGAUUCGAGUUUAACCGUCUUUGAUGUUCUACAGAAGUAAUUGAUUC